rnacentral:rRNA from 1 species
ACGAACGCUGGCGGCGUGCCUAAUACAUGCAAGUCGAGCGGAGUUGAAGAGAAGCUUGCUUCUCUGAUACUUAGCGGCGGACGGGUGAGUAACACGUAGGUAACCUGCCUAUAAGACUGGGAUAACAUUCGGAAACGGAUGCUAAUACCGGAUAUGCAUUUUGAUCGCAUGAUCGGAAUGGGAAAGACGGAGCAAUCUGUCACUUAUAGAUGGACCUGCGGCGCAUUAGCUAGUUGGUGAGGUAAUGGCUCACCAAGGCGACGAUGCGUAGCCG